rnacentral:rRNA from 1 species
AACGAGCGCUGGCGGCAGGCCUAACACAUGCAAGUCGAGCGGACCUUUCGGGGUCAGCGGCGGACGGGUGAGUAACGCGUGGGAAUAUGCCCUUCUCUACGGAAUAGUCCUGGGAAACUGGGGGUAAUACCGUAUACGCCCUUCGGGGGAAAGAUUUAUCGGGGAAGGAUUAGCCCGCGUUGGAUUAGGUAGUUGGUGGGGUAAUGGCCUACCAAGCCGACGAUCCAUAGCUGGUUUGAGAGGAUGAUCAGCCACACUGGGACUGAGACACGGCCCAGACUCCUACGGGAGGCAGCAGUGGGGAAUCUUAGACAAUGGGGGCAACCCUGAUCGAGCCAUGCCGCGUGAGUGAUGAAGGCCUUAGGGUUGUAAAGCUCUUUCAGCUGGGAAGAUAAUGACGGUACCAGCAGAAGAAGCCCCGGCUAACUCCGUG